GGUCCAGUGUUGCACAAGCUGGAGAAAUGCACAGAGAAACCCCGAGGGGGUCUUGGUGAUGCUGGACCUGGUGUUUGAGCAGUAUCUCCCCAGCCUCUGUUGGGAAGCAUGACUGGACCUUCUCUGGGAAGUUAUGCAAUCAGUCAGCAAGAGGCAGAAGCCCUCUCCGGGGAGGGAAAGCAGGCCUGCUGCCCAUUUAUGGCCCACAAUGAGCCUACAUAACUACCACAGGCUAGGUGGUGAUACCUUGUCCAUCACGGGAGCAUCCGUGGUGGUCUACUACUAUGAGGUAUUGAGCUGUCACACAAUGACGACUGUCAUGAAACCACAUCAAAACCCUCCUUCGUUCCUGCAGAAUGUGUUUUCAAACACCCGGUUUAAUCCAUUCAAUGAGAUAAUUCAGCCACCAAAGUGAGAGUAUAAGCAACAUUAUAUGUACAAGAAUAUAUUAAGGGCUUCCCUGGUGGCGCAGUGGUUGAGAGUCCGCCUGCCGAUGCAGGGGAUGCGGGUUCGUGCCCGGGUCCAGGAAGAACCCACAUGCCGCGGAGCGGCUGGGCCCGUGAGCCAUGGCUGCUGAGCCUGCGCAUCCGGAGCCUGUGCUCCGCAACGGGAGAGGCCACAGCACUGAGAGGCCCGCAUACCGCAAAAA